GUGUGAGUGGGGCAUAGACCAAAGAGGCAGGGGAGGGCAGAGACAGGCCCCUCUGCUCAGUGGUCAUCAGACCUUAUCUCGGUACAGCAUCUGGGUUUCAGCCUCCAACUGAAGGAAGUACAUUGAUAAAUCUGUCCAGGUUUGGCAAACAGCAAGAUGGUUCUGGGCUGGAGGCCUUGCUCUCUGCAGAAGGCUGCAGUGCAGUGCUGGUUCAGCCAGGAAAAGGGGUAUCAUUUUAUUCUACAAUUUCAUCUGAAAUGAAUAGCUUAAGAAGUUUAUACUUUGACACAUAUUAUACUUCAAGCUCUUGUAGUCUGUAAGCCACAAGUAUGAAGCUUGAACCUUUUUUAUUUACUUCCUUUAGAGAAUAUUUUCUAGGAAAAACCAGUGAGUUUCUAAAUUUCAGUCUGUUCCUAAAGUGUUACAAGAAGUUCACUAUAAAGAACGUUUUUCAAAUAAUUACACUUACUAAACUUCAGUACAAAAAUUCAAAUUACAUGUGCAAUUAUUGAUGCAGGAACAACGUAGUCAUUCUGAUUUUCCAGGAAGAAGAAAAUGUUAUUUUUUUUUCAUUGAGCAGCAACAAGAAAAGCACUCACUUUUUUGUUGGUCUCAGGAAGGAACACGACCCACAUACAUAGCAAUCAGAAACAAUAGCACGGCACAGAAGGGGCACAGACCCGUCUGGAGGGGAAUUUCACAAAUCUGGGGGCUGAGUGGUGUUUCCGUGGGACUGAUCCAGUUUGUGCUGGGGGAUCAAGCCGGCCCUUAGGAAGUAUUGAGCACAAAGGUUGCACGGUCGCUCAGUUCCUUUCCUCGCGUCUGGGACCUGAGCCAAGCACAGGCAAGCCCUGAGGAUGCGUGCCGCCUCCCUCCCUCCUCCCCACAGCAGCUGUGUGCUCCAGCACCCAAAUAAAUCUUAAUCACUCCAUGGUGGCUCUUUUGUUCAACUGUUUUUAAAUGCGGAGACCCAGUUGUGCAAUCAAGUUAACACGGGACCCGGAGCUUGAAUCUGCAUUGUUGUCGACUUUGUGCAGUAAUUAAAUGGGCAUGCCAAACGGCAGUCAAACAGCACUAAAGCCUGACCGACGUUUUGUCUGGCUUUUGUGUAUGGCCAAGUGAUUGUACAAGAGGCAAAACAGAAUAUAAUCCAGUCUCUGAAGAGGGCAGUCAUUUUGCAGCAAGAAUAGAUUAUUUGCUACAGCACAAGCUGCAGGUUUUGUCAUAUUGUUGUCAUUUCCAUUCUAGCUACAAUUAAUUAAAAUUCACUUCAUGCACCUAAAAAGUAGAGGCACAGACUCAGAUAUGUGCAUGAUUGUACCCAGCCAUAACAAACAACAUUAUGUGUAGCAUUGUGAUGAGUGGUAUUUUAAACAAUCCUUUCAGUGAAACAGCAACAACAACAACAAAAAAAAUUUGCAAAAAUGUUCACAACAUUUUGCCCUGUUUUCAACAAAUUCAUAAUAAAGUUAUUUGUUCUGGAUAAAGGGGGAAAUGGAACAUCACAGAUCACUAAAAAAAAUGCCAUGUAUUCUGAAUAUUUGUUAUGCAUGGAUCCUGCUUCAAAGUUGGAUGUAAUUUUCACUACAUUGAUGGAACAGCAUAAGAAUACAAUUUUCCAUGUCAAAGAUUCUAUACAUCUGACAGGUUUGUCUGGAGUCUGGAGUACUGACAUUCUUUAAAAGUCUGCUGAAAAUAUCGAAUCCUGGGAUUGAAACCUGUUUUCCUCAAAGAAGCAGUUUUACAGCCAUGGUAAUAGUCUGAAAGUAACAGUCUACUAAAUUCAGCAGGACACAAUUUGCAGAACAGUAAUCUCCAGGACCAGGAUAGCCUGAAUGGUAAUGGAAACAAAGAGAUUAUCAAGAUCUAUCAAUUAAAUUUUACAGUGAAAGGUUCCAGUUUCACUUAAUUACCUGGUGGCUUGUUGAGUGCUCUGUACAGGGUACAAGAAGAGGGAAAUUUCUAUCAUACGGUGAAGGCCUAUUGCAUAACAAUUUAAUCUUGAUUUGAUGGGCUUUGCCACAAUUACAUGAGCUUAAGAAACCUGUGAAGCUUUAAGGUCACAAUCCAAGACUGCCUCCACCCGGAGAGAAAUUUCUAUCUAACUUUAAGAAAACAGAAGUUUCUCUUUGCUUUUUACAGAGUGAGCAACUCAUUGCUAGCACAUAGUGUCUCACUGCCAUUCUACAGCAUGGGGGAUUCUGUUACUUGAAGUUAUGCAAAGAAAACGUACAUAUAUAUAAAGUGUUUAAAUAGUGUCAUUCUAAAGCUGAGUGGAAGUGGUCAUCUACAGUUUCAAAUACUUGA